rnacentral:lncRNA from 11 species
CUGUGGGCCUCAAGCUGAGAACCACUGAUCUAGCAUAAGGAUUGCAAUCUCAACUGCAAGAUGAUUUCCAUGAAAAAUUAUUCUGGUACAAGAAAGAAAAUUUUGGAGCUCUUGGAGAAUAAAGACAGCUGCACUGGAAGCAUGCGGCUGAAGCAUCUUCGGUGGAAUCCACAAUAAACACUGCACAACAGAUUGAUGCAAAU